UUGUAGUCUGCAACUCGACUACAUGAAGCUGGAAUCGCUAGUAAUCGCGAAUCAGAAUGUCGCGGUGAAUACGUUCCCGGGUCUUGUACACACCGCCCGUCACACCAUGGGGUCGGAAAUGCCCGAAGUCAGUGACCUAACCGAGAGGAGGACGCCGCCGAAGGUGGGAUUGAUGACUGGGGUGAAGUCGUAACAAGGUAGC
rnacentral:rRNA from 1 species